GAUGAACGCUAGCGGCAGGCCUAAUACAUGCAAGUCGAACGGUGUCUUCGGACAUAGUGGCGCACGGGUGCGUAACACGUAUGCAACCUACCUUACAUUGGGGGAUAGCCUUUCGAAGGGGAGAUUAAUACCGCAUAAGACAGUAGCUGAGCAUCCAGCAGCUGUUAAAGAUUUAUCGAUGUAAGCUGGGCAUGCGUCCAAUUAGCUAGUUGGUGAGGUAACGGCUCACCAAGGCAAUGAUUGGUAGGGGAACUGAGAGGUCAAUCCCCCACACUGGCACUGAGAUACGGGCCAGACUCCUACGGGAGGCAGCAGUAGGGAAUAUUGGGCAAGGGAUGCAAGUCUGACCCAGCCAUGCCGCGUGCAGGAUGAAGGCGUUAUGCGUUGUAAACUGCUUUUAUACAGGAAGAAACGACUCUUGCGAGAGGCAUUGACGGUACUGUAUGAAUAAGCACCGGCUAACUCCGUGCCAGCAGCCGCCGUAAUAC
rnacentral:rRNA from 1 species